UGCCAACUGCGGCCACAGGGGACGGUGGGCUCGGUCCCCAGUGGCCCUCGCAGCCUGGAUGUCUUCCAGUUGCCACCCCCCGUUGGGCUCCCCACAGGUCACCUACCAUCCUGAACUCUGCAGAGACCCGCAUGCUACAGUGUAUCCAGCAGCUGGGACCCUGGAGCUCUGCCCUGACCCUGCUGGCACCCAGCCUGUCCCCUUGUCUCUCUACCCUUCUCACCCGUUCCUGCUCCCGGCUCAGCCGCUGGUUUUCCUCCUGCAGUCGGCACAGAACCUCCUCUUUCCCAACAUUGACCCUGGGGAGGAAAGGGCCUGAAGCAUCCAUACCUUGGCCUGUGAAGAAGAGUCUUGUUUACAUUGUCCCUGGAGCUGUGUCACCUCCUGACUCAGGGUGUUCACCUGGCCUUCAAGCUGUGAUGGGGCAAGGGACAAGGUAACGCCAACCCUGUCCAUUUAUCCCUCUUCAUAUCAUUCUGACAGACUCAGACUCAUCCAGCAGCAAACCCAAGUGCCUGUCUCACCGCCAGGCCCUGUCCAAUGUAACCAGCCACAGCGGGUGCUAGAGACAUGGAUUCCCAACACUUGCUGCUCCCCUUCCCACUAUCAUCACCAACCUCUCUCCGGACAACCCAGGCUUCCUCCAGCUGGGAGUUCAGGGCCUGGAUCUGACUGGCUGCAGCUGCCUCUCUCUCUUGGGCUUCCCACAGCCUCUGUAGGAAUUCUUCCUGUCGGUUCUGGGCUUGGCACAGUUCAGCAUCCCGCACUUGCAAUGCUGCCUGAGCUUCAGCCAGCUCCUGAGGACCAGGGUAAGCAGGACAAAGCCGAGUCGGGGCGCUGACCUCAGGGACAUGGAACCCUAGGUCACUCACUCACUUCACCUAGUGCUCACCUGCUGGAGGCGGUCCUUCUCCUGUUGUAGUUGGAUGUCUGGGGCUGGGCUUCUAACAUGGAGGCCAUCAGCCUGUGAGAGUGAGGCCUUGCUGUCCCUCAGUGUCUCUGUUGGAAAUAGUCAUUGAGACUCGCACACAGAACAACUCCACGUCAGUCAGGCACUCUGUGUACAGGAUCUCAGAGACCUUUCUCCACAGCCAGGGAGAGGGUCUCUUCCCCACAAUCACACAGCAUACACAGAGCAGGAGGCAGGGCUGGGACCCAGGAGGGAUCUAAGCUGGUCUAGGAACAGGAAAGUGAUACCUGUCAGUUUCUCCUGAAGAACCUGUACUUCUUUCUGCAGUCGCACCAGCUCCUGGGGUUGUAAUGAGCUAUGCAGGGCCUCUGGCAGGAGAAGGGCCACUGGGAAAAUGGAGGUAUCAAUGAGACCUUGCCCAGCAGUGGACUGCACACCUUUAAUCCCAGCACUCUGGAGGCAGAGGCAGGUGAUCUCUGAAUUCAAGGCCAGCCUGGUCUAUAGAUCAAGUUCUAGGACAGACAGCAGGGUUAUACAUGGAAGCCCUGUCUCUAAAACCCAACCAAGCAACCAACCAACAAGGCUCAUGUGAAGGCUCAGCAGGGGCCAGUGGGCUCCAUCAGCUGCUGAAGGAUGCCUCUUGCCAAGCCUGAGCCCCUGGUUCCAUCCCUGGGACCCACAAGGUGGAAGGAGAGAACUGACCGACUUCUGAAAGUUGUUCUCUGCCCUCUACAAGUGCACUGUGGUACAUCGUGCCCAUAUGCAUAGAGGUUUAUUAAGCAAAUAAAUUAAGUAA